rnacentral:rRNA from 1 species
CCUACGGGAGGCAGCAGUGAGGAAUAUUGGUCAAUGGACGCAAGCCUGAACCAGCCAUGCCGCGUGCAGGAAGACGGCUCUAUGAGUUGUAAACUGCUUUUGUACGAGGGUAAACGCAGAUACGCGUAUCUGUCUGACAGUAUCGUACGAAUAAGGAUCGACUAACUCCGUGCCAGCAGCCGCGGUAAUACGGAGGAUUCAAGCGUUAUCCGGAUUUAUUGGGUUUAAAGGGUGCGUAGGCGGUCGGAUAAGUUAGAGGUGAAAUCCCGAGGCUCAACUUCGGAAUUGCCUCUGAUACUGUUCGGCUAGAGAGUAGUUGAGGUAGGCGGAAUGUAUGGUGUAGCGGUGAAAUGCUUAGAGAUCAUACAGAACACCGAUUGCGAAGGCAGCUUACCAAGCUACUUCUGACGUUGAGGCACGAAAGCGUGGGGAGCAAACAGGAUUAGAUACCCCUGUAGUC